UGGCUCAGUGGUAGAGUGCUUGCCUUGCAUGCAUGAGGCCCUGGGUUCAAGAGCUGAGGGACAGAGCCCAG
rnacentral:tRNA from 1 species